GAAUUGUAUGAUUAUAGAGAAGGUUAGCACUUCCUUAGAUAAAGAUGGAAGAGGUCCCAGUGGCCUUUAUAACACAUGUACAGAUAAGGCAUUGCUACCUACUCUGUGGUAUCUAACAAUUUGG
ensembl:snRNA